rnacentral:rRNA from 1 species
UAGUCCACGCUGUAAACGAUGUCGAUUUGGAGUUUGGGGGCAUGACCCUUGGGCUCCGGAGCUAACGCGUUAAAUCGACCGCCUGGGGAGUACGGCCGCAAGGUUAAAACUCAAAUGAAUUGACGGGGGCCCGCACAAGCGGUGGAGCAUGUGGUUUAAUUCGAUGCAACGCGAAGAACCUUACCUGGUCUUGACAUCCAUAGAAUCUUUCAGAGAUGAGAGAGUGCCUUCGGGAGCUAUGAGACAGGUGCUGCAUGGCUGUCGUCAGCUCGUGUUGUGAAAUGUUGGGUUAAGUCCCGCAACGAGCGCAACCCCUAUCCUUUGUUGCCAGCACGUAAUGGUGGGAACUCAAAGGAGACUGCCGUUGAUAAAGCGGAGGAAGGUGGGGACGACGUCAAGUCAUCAUGGCCCUUACGACCAGGGCUACACACGUGCUACAAUGGCGUAUACAAAGGGAUGCGAAGGUGCGAACUGGAGCGGACCUCACAAAGUACGUCUAAGUCCGGAUUGGAGUCUGCAACUCGACUCCAUGAAGUCGGAAUCGCUAGUAAUCGUGAAUCAGAAUGUCACGGUGAAUACGUUCCCGGGCCUUGUACACACCGCCCGUCACACCAUGGGAGUGGGUUGCACCAGAAGUAGAUAGCUUAACCUUCGGGAGGGCGUUUACCACGGUGUGGUUCAUGACUGGGGUGAAGUCGUAACAAGGUAACCA